rnacentral:misc_RNA from 1 species
AGUUUCUCUGGUCCUAUCCCCAAUUCAGUUGGAUCACUGCAGCAGCUGGUUUAUUUGUCUCUAAAUUCGAAUGCCUUUACUGGACCAAUUCCACCUUCCAUUGGCAAUCUAUCUGAACUUUAUUGGCUGGAUCUAGCUGACAAUAAGCUUGAUGGGAACAUCCCUGUCUCCACAGACACUACACCUGGUCUUGAUAUGCUAGUUAAAACAAAACACUUUCAUCUUGGAAAGAAUCAGCUCUCUGGAGAAAUCCCGUCUAAACUUUUCAGCUCAGAUAUGACUCUCAUACAUGUGCUUUUUGACAGCAACAAACUCAC